ACAAGCCGUUGCGGGGCGGGGCUCCCGGAAACCCGAGCUGCGGGCGAGGAAAGGCCCCCCGGCGGCCCGGGAACGGGAGGAUGAUUGGGCCGAUUUGCGGGGUGGGUCCCGGCGCGCGCGUAGGCGCUCCGGCUCCCUGGAGUGUGACUUUCCUCGUCACCCCAGAAGUCCGAUUCCACCUCCCCAGUAACGUAACCCUCUGUGACCUUGAGGGAGACCUCCGGAGCUGUUUCCCAUCAGUCCAUGGAGGGGUCAAAGGGCAGGAGCUCUGACUCCUCCUAAGGGACCCAACUGCGUUCUGCCAGGCCAGGGUCGGGGCAUCGGGAACCCCUGCUGUAGGCUGACGUUCCCAGGGGACGGUCCAAUGGAUGCAGGCAGCUAUUAAUGAGCGCGGACUGUGUGCCAAUCUCAGUGCUAAACAUACUUGAUUUCACUUCAUUUUCACAAUCGGUAGCGGUGAAAACUAUGACCCCCCCCCCCAUUCACAGGCCAGGAAAUUGAGGCUCGCAGGGAGGUGGCCUCCCAAGUGAGGAGCAGCCAGAAGGGAAACCAGGUGCUUCGCCUACUUUUCUUCAGACAUGGUGGUGGAUUGGGCCCCAGCUGCCCCAGACUCUCCACGAAGGGUCCAAGGUUUGGGGUGCCCCACAUGCGGGCACCCAAGGUCAUGCUGAGACCCCACCAGAUGCCCCCACCUGAAGCACUGCCCCACCUAGGGGGGGUGUGAGCUCACAGGCCCGCAGUGAAGCUCUUGGGGUCCAGGGCGACCACCAGAUUUAGAGAAAGUAGGUCAUUGACCCGGGAAUGUGGGAUCCACCUGCCUCGCCUAGGCUUUCCCCUGCUCCUCUCUACGCCCUCAGUUUCCCUGCAUUUUGUCCCAGCUUUCCCAUUCUGGACAUCUCUGAGUAUGAUGGGGGGAGGGGCAAAGUGAAUGGAGAUCCUGGGGUUGACUGUUUGCCCUCUGGAGCCCCCAGGCCCUGGGAGUGAGAGCUUCCUAGGGAAGUGGUGCCCGAGGUGAACUACCUGUGGCUCAGAGCUCGGGCCCCUCGCUUCCUCGUCCUCAUCCUUUUUCAGGGCUGGAGUUGAGACCUCCUGCCAUCUCCAGGACUACCAGUGGAGUGAGGUUGCAAGGGCAUCGGCCGCAGGUGCCAGGGUGUGCAGCUGGCCUCAGGGCAAGUCUCUCUCCACCCCUGGCUGCCCUCCUUGCCUUUCCCUUCAAUUUGCCUUCUUCACUGGGGUUCCUAAAGGCCUCUUUCUAAAAAGUCAUGUCUGAUCCCAUAUCUUCACCACUUAGAAGCUUCCCGUGCACAUGAUUAGCCAGAAAGACCAGGUGGGCAGAGGAAAGGCAUUCCCCGCUGAGGAACAGUUGGAGCAAAGGUCUGGGAGUGGCUGAAGAAGUUUGGAGAUGUCAGUCAGGAGGGGCCAAGCUACGUAUGUCCUUGAAUGCUGGGGCAGGUAGCUUGGGUUUGUCCUGAGGAUUUGGAAGUGAUGGCAGAAAGGGUUUGGAGGUCAGUUGGUUAGUGAAUUAUUUCAGGCAUAUGAAAAUAAUCAUAAUGAAUGCCUGGGAACCACGGUCCAGUUUAAGAAAUAACAGGUGGGUAACUCUGAAGGCCUGUGUGCCCAUCCUGCCCACCCCCUGCCAGCCCUGGGUCUUUCCCACGGUGGCAGCUGACAUUGUAACACUGUCCGUCAUGGCGCCAAUCAGCCCUCGCUGCCAGCGCCUUGCUCUCUCCUCCCAAGGUUACUUUCAGACUCACCCUCUGGGGUACAUGCUGCUCUGGGUCGCCGAGGCAUCUUCUGCUGGCGGGAGCUGUCCCCCGUGCCUGGCACACGUGUGGUCUCGCAGAGCUUCUGGCUGUGAACAUCCUGCCUAUGUCUACUUGGGGACUGUGCUGGGGCCUGAACGCAGGGACAGGGCGUGCCCCUCCACGUCAGCCUUUUAAUGCCAGAGUACGAGCAGGGGAAGGGCAGAAAGAGGGAGACACAGAAUCCGAAGCAGGCUCCAGGCUGUCAGCACAGAGCCCGACGUGGGGCUCAAACUCACAGACCGCGAGAUCACUACCUGAGCCGAAGCCAGCCGCUUCACCCACUGAGCCACACAGGCACCCAGGCAAAUCUUGGGAGAGAAUACAGGUGACUACCAAGUAACAAGAAGGUCCUGGUUUUGAAGGUUAAUCACACGGCUACCAUAUGACUAAUGCACAUGUCAGUACCAUGCAGCCACAGUCAAGAGCAAAGAGCCUGAGCUCCUCAUUCGUCAAGUGGAGAGAAUCUGCCACAGAGAGCUGUCCUGAGGGGUAUGGAACUCUCAUAGGACACAGCUCUGCCUGCCACCGAGUUAGCCUCCGAAACUGAGCUGUUAGGAUUCCUUUGUAAAUUUUUCAACACAAAAAUGUUAAAAGAAAAAGCAUA